GAAUUUAGACAUGGAAAAAAAAAAAAAAAGGUUCUCCCAGGGCGAGGCUCAUCCAUUGCACUCCGGGUGUGCUGACCCCUGCGAUUUCCCCAAAUGCGGGAAACUCGACUGCAUAAUUUGUGGUAGUGGGGGACUGCGUUCGCGCUCUCCCCUG
rnacentral:snRNA from 1 species